AGCGAACGCUGGCGGCAGGCUUAACACAUGCAAGUCGAGCGGGCACUUCGGUGUCAGCGGCAGACGGGUGAGUAACACGUGGGAACGUACCCUUCGGUUCGGAAUAACGCUGGGAAACUAGCGCUAAUACCGGAUACGCCCUUUGGGGGAAAGGUUUACUGCCGAAGGAUCGGCCCGCGUCUGAUUAGCUAGUUGGUGGGGUAAUGGCCUACCAAGGCGACGAUCAGUAGCUGGUCUGAGAGGAUGAUCAGCCACACUGGGACUGAGACACGGCCCAGACUCCUACGGGAGGCAGCAGUGGGGAAUAUUGGACAAUGGGCGCAAGCCUGAUCCAGCCAUGCCGCGUGAGUGAUGAAGGCCUUAGGGUUGUAAAGCUCUUUUGUCCGGGACGAUAAUGACGGUACCGGAAGAAUAAGCCCCGGCUAACUUCGUG
rnacentral:rRNA from 1 species